ACCACGGCUGGAGGACUUCCUGGAAAGGGUCAAAGGGACAGAGAGCGUCUCCUGGAAGGGUCUCGCCUCGGUCACUGCAGAGGAACCCGAAGGAGGAGGCUAAGGAGGAGAGAGGAAGGAUGAAGCAGAAGGAGGGAUGAAGGAGGAGAGGAGAGGAAUACCAGAGUUGAUCAAAGGACUUAAAGCAAAGGAACGUAAUGUUUUAGAAGAAUUCCGAAGGAGGAGAGAAGGAGGAAGUGAGGAGAUGAGGGGAAGAAGUGGAGAAGAAGAGGAGGAAAGGAGAUGUGAGAAAAGAUGCAGAGGAAGGCGUGGGAAGAAGAGAGGAGAGGAGAAAGAUGAAGAGAUGAUUGAGAGGUUCACAACAAGGCACUGGACGCCACACGAACCCGCUCGCAUGAGACUCCAACCCUGAACCCUCGAACCCCAGCGCGGGCCAAUCACUUCUCGACAUUCCACCACCAGAUCCUGCGGGCCAAUAGGAGUCGAGUUCACCUCCUUGUGCCCGCGUGGCGCUCAUUACAGGGAAGAAAGGGAAGCGAGGAGCACGUGUGAGAGACCCACGCUUACCACACCACCUUAAUGAGUCGCUUCUAGAAGGCUGCAAGAUUCAGUACUGCGUCUCCCUUCACUUCAAACCCCCUGCAAGUACGCCAGACUACGUGAACUUGGCUUAAAUACCCUGCAAAAAACUAUGAAACCCCUGUAUUUGACUUAGACACCCCUGCACGUGACUUAGGCCCUGGACAGCGUGUCAUGGUGCCCUUGAGGUGACCUGACCCUCACUCCCUUCCAGCCCCCUUCACCGCUGCCUGUGCCUCUGCCUCUGCCUCCUCCAGGUGCUCGCCGCGGCCCAUCGAGUCACUCGGCACAGGUCAACAGGUGAUGGCGCGGCGGUAGUGAAUGGACAGGUAGUGUAACGUUCAAUCUAUUCUUUUGGGAAUCCAGCAGGUCAUUUCCUGGUCGUGCUUUCACCUGCCUGCGAUCUACCUGUGUCUACCUGUCCUGGCUACCUGGCCGUGUCUACACCUGCCCACACUGUACCUGCUCGUGUCUACCUGUCCGCUUUACCUGUGUGACGCGCGGCCAAUCAGCAGGCGGGGUGUGGGUGUGAUCCGCGCUAAUCCAGCGCGGGCCUGUUUUGAUUAGGCCUGGGAUUAAUUUCCGAAUUUAUCUUAUUGAUGGAAAUAUUAAUCAGUAAUUAUUCAUGAAGUAAUGAGAGGCAAAUUAACUGCACGGAAAAUGUAUGUUAGUGGUGGGCUGUUUUUCAGUUUUUUUGUUUUUGGGGGGAGGGGAGGUUUUUUUAUAUAGCAUGUUAAAUUAUUCGAAACCUACAGUUAUUCGAAACCUACAUAAGUGUUUGAAAUAUCUGUUAAAUGUUUGUUGCUGCUGUGUUGGCUGAAUGGAUGUUUCCAGUUAAAUGUUUGUUGCUGCUGUGUUGGCUGAAUGGAUGUUUGGAGCGGUUUUCUUUGUUGAAUGUUUGUUGCUGUUUGGAAUAUUAGCUGCUGCGUUUGUUUUAAUGAUUCUUGCUUUGCUAAAUGUCUGGUACCCCUUCCCUCUUCUUCCUUCCUCUACAGUAUACAUCCUCCUCCACCGUCCUACUGAAGGGAAUGGUGUCGAAAAGCCGGACUGUCUGAUGGAGGUGAGCUUGGUAGUGGUGCGUGGGAGGGGGAUAAGGAGAGAGGAAGAGGAGAAAGGCAAAGGGGGAGAAGGGCAGGGAGGGAAGGAAGGAAGGGAGGGAGGGAGGGAGGAGGAAGAGGGAGAUAGGAGGGAGAGGGGGGAAGGAAAUAAAAAAUAAAAGGUAAAAGGGAAAGAAGGGAAAGGAAAAGGAGACGAAGUAAGGGAAGAGAAGGAAAAGGAGGCGAAAGGCAAUAGGAAUGCAAGGAAGAAGAAAAGGAGGCGAAAGCGAAUAGAAAGGUGAAGUAGCGAUGAGAGAAGAGAAGGAAAAACUACGCAAAAAAAAAUAAGAGGCAGAGGAGAUAUGGGAGAAGAGAAUGGAAAAUUAAGGAAAGGAAAAGAGAAGAGGGACGGGACGGGACAAAGGGAGCAACACGCCGGUGAGUCUCCAGAGGGAUUACAGUAAUUACAUUUUGGGCCUGAUUGAAUUUACUGCGUCAUGUUCUGCUCUCAGGAUUUUUUAACGUGUGUUAGCAAAGUGUUGUUGUUGACAUCGACGAAACCAUAAUUCUUGGGUAUUUUCUGCGUCGAGUUCAUGAGGGUUUUGUUAAAUAUUUUAGUAUGGAAGCCUCUUAAAAAUCAAGAUGUCUGGUAAUUGCAGUUUUUUUCGAUUUGUUAGGUUCAAAUAACUGGAGUUCGUUUUCUUUAAUUUAUUCUGGUUUCUUAGUCUUCGCUUUAGAUUACAAUCAUCAAAGUCUACUUAUUAGAUUCAAGGAUAUUUAAUUUCCUUUUAUUUAUUCAACUUUCGAUUUUUUUUCUCUAUUAGAAUUAUAGAACAUCAAAGCGGGUUUAUUAGGAAAUUCAAAUAACUUUAUCUUAUUUUA